UACGGAGGGUGCAAGCGUUAUCCGGAUUUACUGGGUUUAAAGGGUGCGCAGGCGGAUAUGUAAGUCAGUGGUGAAAUAUCCCAGCUUAACUGGGAGGGUGGCAUUGAUACUGCGGGGCUAGAGUACAGAUGAGGUAGGCGGAAUUGACGGUGUAGCGGUGAAAUGCUUAGAUAUCGUCAAGAACACCUAUAGCGAAGGCAGCUUACUAGGCUGUAACUGACGCUGAGGCACGAAAGUGUGGGGAUCAAACAGG
rnacentral:rRNA from 1 species